GCUCAUGAUGAUUUAUCUGAUGUAUGGAGUUGCAAGUGGUGCCAAGUUCUUGAUAUCAAGGAGAACCUACUUGGUGUUUCUCUUGCAUCUCAUUGACGCCAUUGGGCUUUCUCUGACGU
rfam:Picea glauca, whole genome shotgun sequence.